UUACUGGCUGUCUGCUCCAGGACUAUAGAGGAACAGAGAGGUUACUGGCUGUCUGCUCCAGGACUAUAGAGGAACAGAGAGGUUACUGGCUGUCUGCUCCAGGACUAUAGAGGAACAGAGAGGUUACUGGCUGUCUGCUCCAGGACUAUAGAGGAACAGAGAGGUUACUGGCUGUCUGCUCCAGGACUAUAGAGGAACAGAGAGGUUACUGGCUGUCUGCUCCAGGG